rnacentral:rRNA from 1 species
UGAACGACUCUCGGCAACGGAUAUCUCGGCUCACGCAUCGAUGAAGAACGUAGCAAAAUGCGAUACUUGGUGUGAAUUGCAGAAUCCCGUGAACCAUCGAGUUUUUGAACGCAAGUUGCGCCCGAAGCCAUCCGGUUGAGGGCACGUCUGCCUGGGCGUCACGCA